rnacentral:rRNA from 1 species
UACGGAGGGGGCUAGCGUUGUUCGGAAUUACUGGGCGUAAAGCGUACGUAGGCGGCUUUGUAAGUUAGAGGUGAAAGCCCGGGGCUCAACUCCGGAACUGCCUUUAAGACUGCAUCGCUUGAAUCAUGGGGAGGUGAGUGGAAUUCCGAGUGUAGAGGUGAAAUUCGUAGAUAUUCGGAAGAACACCAGUGGCGAAGGCGACUCACUGGACAUGUAUUGACGCUGAGGUACGAAAGCGUGGGGAGCAAACAGG